rnacentral:rRNA from 1 species
GGGUUGUGAGGUUAAGCGACUAAGCGUACACGGUGGAUGCCCUGGCAGUCAGAGGCGAUGAAGGACGUGCUAAUCUGCGAUAAGCGUCGGUAAGGUGAUAUGAACCGUUAUAACCGGCGAUUUCCGAAUGGGGAAACCCAGUGUGAUUCGUCACACUAUCAUUAACUGAAUCCAUAGGUUAAUGAGGCGAACCGGGGGAACUGAAACAUCUAAGUACCCCGAGGAAAAGAAAUCAACCGAGAUUCCCCCAGUAGCGGCGAGCGAACGGGGAGGAGCCCAGAGCCUGAAUCAGUGUGUGUGUUAGUGGAAGCGUCUGGAAAGGCGCGCGAUACA